rnacentral:rRNA from 1 species
UACGGGAGGGACUAGCGUUGUUCGGAAUUACUGGGCGUAAAGCGCACGUAGGCGGAUUUGUAAGUCAGGGGUGAAAUCCCGGGGCUCAACCUCGGAACUGCCUUUGAUACUGCAAAUCUCGAGUCCGGAAGAGGUGAGUGGAAUUCCUAGUGUAGAGGUGAAAUUCGUAGAUAUUAGGAAGAACACCAGUGGCGAAGGCGGCUCACUGGUCCGGUACUGACGCUGAGGUGCGAAAGCGUGGGGAGCAAACAGG